CUUCCAGUAGCACCUUAGAGACCAACUAAGUUUGUUAUUGGUAUGAGCUUUCCUGUGGUAUCUGAAGAAGUGUGCAUGCACACAAAAGCUCAUACCAGUAACAAACCUAGCUGGUCUCUAAGGUGCUACUGGAAG